rnacentral:rRNA from 1 species
GACGAACGCUGGCGGCGUGCCUAAUACAUGCAAGUAGAACGCAGUUGAGAACGGGUGCGUAACGCGUAGGUACCUGCCUCAUAGCAGGGGAUAACUGUUGGAAACGAUAGCUAAUACCGCAUACUGUGAGAUGGACCGGCGUUGUAUUAGCUAGUUGGUGAGGUAAAGGCUCACCCAGGCGACGAUCCAUUGCCCGCCUGAGAGGGUGAUCGGGCCCCCGUGGACUGAGACACGGCCCCGGCUCCUACGGGGAGGAGCAGUAGGGAAUCUUCGGCCAUGGACGGAAGGCUUACCGGGCAACGCCGGCUUGGUGGAGAAGGUUUUCGGGUCGUAAAGCUCUUGUUUUUGAGAAGCGGUAUCUAACCAGAAAGGGACGGCUAACUACGUGCCAGCAGCCGCGGUAAUAC